GUCAAAAACUCGCUGUCAGAGUCACUCUAAAUUAUCACAGCAUUAAUUAUUAUUUUUCAUUAUUUAUUUAUUUUGUUUUAAUUAUUUCCCCAUCCUACCCCUAAAUUAUUCACCCGCCACACCUUUUCCGCUCCAGGCUAGGCUUAGUUGACCACCUUGGAGAUAGCUAAGGCGCGUCCUUUCAUUUAUCUGCCCUUGAUCGGGGAAAAGUAGACACACAAUCUCUUUUGUCUUGCCCGCCGGAUGUCUGAAGGACGGUCGCGGUUGACCCCACCUUGGUUUGAAUGCAAGCUAAUCCUUCUCCCCCCCCCCUUCUCUCACGUCUCUCUUUGAUCUAAGAGAUUACACGGGUCAACAUACCGCGUGAUACACCAAGGUGCGUCGCUUGUCGGACUUCACCCACGUGUAAGCUAAUUCUUGGCCUUGGACAUUUCCGGUGUCCGCCCACACUUUUCAGGCAUAUAUAUAUAGUAAACCAACUCAAAUCACCCUCUCUUUCGCAUUCGAGCUGAGCUAUCGAGUCUGGACUAUAUCAUUUAUUCUCCCUCCUAGAGGAAUACCUGGUGGUAAGCCGAACUUAAUCACAAGUUCCAUCUUAAUUACUCUGUGUAUAUUUCAAUUGGAUUUUUAUCAUGUGUAUUUUGCUUAGUUCAUUUAUAUUUAAUUAGUGCAUUGUGUAUUUCUCACUGGCGUAAGUAGAAAACAUAAACAUGUGCUAUGUAUAUAUUUUAGUAUUGCAUUAAUCUAUUAAUGCUACGUUGCUCAAUUGAUCAUUGAUGCAACCAUGUAUAUAUUUGUACACCUUAUUUUAUUUCCUUUAUCUCGGUUGAUCGCCUUGAUGAUUUUACUAUCGCACUAAUACUGCGCUUAGAAAGGAGAUAUGAAGUAUCUCCCCUGUAAUGAAUUAUCUCCCCUUUACUCAUUUUACUCUAAUGAGAGUUACCCCGCUUGAACGGACACACUCUACAUUCAAGCACGCUCCUUUGUUCUCGACCCACGGUCGUAUGUAAACAAACCAUCUGGGUCACUGACCACCGCCCAUUUCACCUCCCCCCCCCUUCUUUCUCUAUCCACCUGUGUUGUUUAUUUGAGAUUAUUAUUUCCCCUUCUAUGUACAUUCUUAUAUUAUUAUUUCCCCUUUUAUGUACAUUUCUAUAUUGCUACUAUCUGCCAUCUAUUUUUCCAAAUCCCAUUUGUCAUCAUCUCCCCUUGUGCUCUAAAGCAAUUUUACCAAUCUGACGAAUGCACCUCAGUCGAGGGCAUCGAUAAGAUGUAUGAGAGACAUGUCCUAACUUGUCUUUAUUUAUCCGCAGCCUCCCUCAGGUGUCUGCCUAUUUGUUCGAUAUCAAGAAUCACCUACUAUUUAUGUGCUCAGUGCUAUUCAGCACUGCACUAGCUCACUGACCUGCCCAUUUGUUUGUGCUUAGUGCUAUCCAGCACUGCACUUUCCUAUUGAGUAUCAUCUACCGCCUGCGGAGAUCUACUCAACUCUACCACUUGGCGCUAUCGGCAUUGCCCGCCUAUUCGACGGCCCACCUGCCAAGCUAUUAAGGCGACGUCCCUAUAGACCAGAUCUGUGUGAGACGUCAUAGCUACGCCAACCCUCUGCAACUCACUGGACAUAUCCUGUCAACUACUCUGCCCACGGCAGAUCAGCUCUGCCCGCAGUAUCCUUGUGCCCACGGUAGCCGGCCACCCGCCCUACUGUGCCCACUACAGAUAUUAGAUUUUGGGGAUUGAGACUCCACAAGAACUAUAUCACCGGCGUCCCUCUAUCCGCUAGAGCGCCACCUCCAGCUGCAGAACCUCAAGCCAGGACACAGCCAGCUGCGACACCAACAGGAAUACCAGCUAAGUCAGAGGACAAAGUGACAUACUCUUAUUAGGUGCUACAGUGAUGAUCAAAAUACCUUACUAAUUAGAGAUAGAUGCAAACCCUCCCCCUUUUAUUAUUAUAUGUAUAUUUAUGUAAAUAAAUAUCCUUUAUUUUAACUUUUGUAUCUAUCUUUCAUUGCUUUGUCUCGUUGCGUGUCUGCUCCCGAUUCAUAUGCUGAUAAGUGGGGGUGUGAUAGCUUUAAAAAUAAUCAUCCCCUAGACAUAAAACGUGCCAAACACACGUCACAUUUCCCCACCUGUCACAUUUUGGCGAGCCCGUCCGUGGAUUUAACCCAUCUUUACAGCAGGCACGAACAGGCAGCAAUAACUAAAUUCCAUAUCAAUAUUUUAUUUUUUCUAAGAAUAUUUAUAAGUAUCAUCACUUCGCAUUUUCAAGAGUGUCACUUCUGUCAUAUUUUAUAUUUUAUAUUUAUUGCAUUUUAUUUGUAAUAUUUCAUUGCAGGAAUUUGUGAUUAACAUAGGCAGACACCACAUUCCUUUAGCACUCUUUCCUAUAACCGGCGACUCACUUUCGCUAACCCACUUUCUUUAAUUCUAGCUCGACCCUAUUAUCCAUUCUAUCUGCCCCUCCACCAUCCUAGUACCUCUCAUUACCCACCCCUCAUCAUUAUGGCCAGCGGCACUCGCUCCAAGACUGAACCUGACCGCAAGCAGCGGAUAGCAGAUAUCAUGGAUGAGGCUAAAUUGUUUAGCGACGCAGAGCAGAAUGAAUACAUUAAGGGACGACUUGCUGCUCUUGAUAGAGAGGAACAGGAAAAACAUGCAAGGGAGCAUGAGCUAGCAAUGAAGGAAAAGGAUAAUGAAAUAGCUAUUGCUAGAGAAAGAAAGGAAGCUGAAAUAGCCAUUGCUAAAGAAGUCACAGAGCGAGAAAGAGAAAAAGAGCAACAAAUUACAGCGAGAGAAAAGAUAGCCGCGGACAAAGAAAACGAGGCCGCCCGCCACGCUUCUUCUGAGUCUCGCCCAGCUAGCCCAGCAUCCCUUCAAAGUGCCUUGAACGGUCUACCCCACAUGCCAAUGGAGCACUUUGACGACAAGACAGAGAACAUCGAAGUUUAUCUUGUCCGUUUUGAGGAAGUAGCACGCUUUUACGGUCUGCCAGAGGAGAAAUGGUGCUUCCGGUUAUCCCAAUGCCUCCGAGGCAAAGCCUACGAGGUUUACUCCAAACUUCCCUCCGGCCGGCGAGAGGACUACCCAGCCCUCAAGCAGGCGCUACUCGUCCAGUUCGAGUUGACCGCCGAGGCCUACCACAAAAAGUUCAGAAGUUCCCGCCUCGAACGCAGAGAGACCUACGGUAACCUCUGCGAAAGGCUGGACAAGUACCUUAUCAGGUGGCACGCUCUCAGCCAAUUGCCAGAGACUUUUGAUGGCCUAGCAUGCCUCGUACUCUCUGAGCAGCUGUUAGAAUGCAUGUCCCCAGAGGUCAGAGUUUAUGUCAAGGAGCAACAAGCAACUGCACCCGCUGACAUAGCUUCCGCCGCUGACCGGUACUUGAACGCCCGAAAGGACUUAAAAGGUAAAGCAACCGCGACAGACCAGCAAACAGACCAACCAACUUCUCCUGCUCAAUCCAACCUUGCUCCUAAAACUCCCCAGCACAACCAGGCACCAGGCCGGCAAUCAGCCCCUCAUAACUACAAUAACCGCCCCAACCAUCAGUCUCGCUAUAACCAGUCCAACUACUCUCAGCGUGACUUACGUCAUAGCACGCGUGACAGUAGACCCACUCCACAACGGCAGCAGCAGGCUCCACGGACCCUAUCUACGGUGACGCCAGUCUCUCAACCCUCCGCGAUCGAUCCUUCUGACCAACCGGAGGAGGACACAUACUUCGUCUCCACGAUGGCCGUGGUUCCUCAACCCACUGCCAUUGAUCUCGGCCAACCAGAACUCCCCCCAGUGCUCUCUCACCCCAUCUCUUCUCCUCCGGGAGUAGAGAACAUUCUGGCCAACGGUGUCGAAGUUUUGGGCCUAUACGACUCAGGCUGUUCGUUCGGCGCGGUUAUCAAUAAGACGCUGAUUGACCCAUCGGAUCUCACUGGUGGAACAGUGACAAUCCAGUCUAUUGACCGUGGCACUCCUCCGCAGGUUCUACCUGUCGCGAGGGUGCACGUGGAGUGCAGAUACGUACAUGGCACCAUUGACGCCGCCGUCAUGGACACGCCAGUGUACGACUUCAUUCUAGGCUCCAAAUAUGUCCCUCUUGGAGAAGUCAACAAGCCAUACUUCUCUCUGCCCGUCGGUAGAUCGACGAAGCAGAAACGUGGCAGCAACCAGCAGGUUGGAAGCCCUGGUCGCCACACUCACCCGCCCGGUCCCGACUCAUCAGCCAAGCUCAAACCACACUGCCCUGGCAUUGACACUGCUAGGAAGUCACGAGUUAAGUCGGAUACCCGCGCUUGUGAAGGUCUACUUGACCCAGGCUACUCAGCCAAAAUUAAGCAACAUUCCUCUGACAUUGACAGUGUCAGAAUGCCACGAGGUAAGAUGAACCCUUGCUCUCGUGGACUCGCUCCUCUUCAUGGCUCCUCAGCCAUCAUUCAAAAUCAACCUUCCCCUGGCAUUGAUAGUGUCAGGAAGUCACGAGGUAAGCUGCACCCUCGCGCUCGUGAAAACAUUUCUCUUAGUGGCUCCUCAGCCACCAUUCAAUAUCAACCUUCCCUUGGCAUUAACCGUGUUAGGAAGCCACGAUGUAAGCCAGAGUAUCGCACUCGUGGGGACGUUCUCAGGCAGAACUCCACAUUCUUUAUCAGGCCACUCUUCCCUGACAUUGAUCGUGUCAGACGAAACCGAGGUAAGCUGACCACUCACUCUCGUGAAGAAGCGCCUCACAGCGGCUUCGGAGGUAAGCCCCAACGAGCACACGUGCCUUGGGCACCCCGCCUAAGCCCCAAUCACGCUCCCCAAUCCGCCCCAGGAAGGAAUUACUACUCAUCCAAUCGCCCAAUCUACUCUCCCAAGCAACCCCAAAGGUUUCACCCAGGUGACUCCGUACUCAGGGACGGGAAGUAGACCACGGACAAUCUUGGACAGACCCUCCUCCUGGCAUGGCUACCCCUAUUUUUCAGUUUUUUUUUCUAAUGCUGUGAUAACAACUGAUCUUAAAGUUAGAGUGACAUCAGUCUGCUCGCACUUUAUGGAUCUUUCUGCGAUAGAUCCAUCUUGGCGGCGGCGUAUGUGACAAGUCAAAAACUCGCUGUCAGAGUCACUCUAAAUUAUCACAGCAUUAAUUAUUAUUUUUCAUUAUUUAUUUAUUUUGUUUUAAUUAUUUCCCCAUCCUACCCCUAAAUUAUUCACCCGCCACACCUUUUCCGCUCCAGGCUAGGCUUAGUUGACCACCUUGGAGAUAGCUAAGGCGCGUCCUUUCAUUUAUCUGCCCUUGAUCGGGGAAAAGUAGACACACAAUCUCUUUUGUCUUGCCCGCCGGAUGUCUGAAGGACGGUCGCGGUUGACCCCACCUUGGUUUGAAUGCAAGCUAAUCCUUCUCCCCCCCCCCUUCUCUCACGUCUCUCUUUGAUCUAAGAGAUUACACGGGUCAACAUACCGCGUGAUACACCAAGGUGCGUCGCUUGUCGGACUUCACCCACGUGUAAGCUAAUUCUUGGCCUUGGACAUUUCCGGUGUCCGCCCACACUUUUCAGGCAUAUAUAUAUAGUAAACCAACUCAAAUCACCCUCUCUUUCGCAUUCGAGCUGAGCUAUCGAGUCUGGACUAUAUCAUUUAUUCUCCCUCCUAGAGGAAUACCUGGUGCCUCCCUCAGGUGUCUGCCUAUUUGUUCGAUAUCAAGAAUCACCUACUAUUUAUGUGCUCAGUGCUAUUCAGCACUGCACUAGCUCACUGACCUGCCCAUUUGUUUGUGCUUAGUGCUAUCCAGCACUGCACUUUCCUAUUGAGUAUCAUCUACCGCCUGCGGAGAUCUACUCAACUCUACCACUUGGCGCUAUCGGCAUUGCCCGCCUAUUCGACGGCCCACCUGCCAAGCUAUUAAGGCGACGUCCCUAUAGACCAGAUCUGUGUGAGACGUCAUAGCUACGCCAACCCUCUGCAACUCACUGGACAUAUCCUGUCAACUACUCUGCCCACGGCAGAUCAGCUCUGCCCGCAGUAUCCUUGUGCCCACGGUAGCCGGCCACCCGCCCUACUGUGCCCACUACAGAUAUUAGAUUUUGGGGAUUGAGACUCCACAAGAACUAUAUCACCGGCGUCCCUCUAUCCGCUAGAGCGCCACCUCCAGCUGCAGAACCUCAAGCCAGGACACAGCCAGCUGCGACACCAACAGGAAUACCAGCUAAGUCAGAGGACAAAGUGACAUACUCUUAUUAGGUGCUACAGUGAUGAUCAAAAUACCUUACUAAUUAGAGAUAGAUGCAAACCCUCCCCCUUUUAUUAUUAUAUGUAUAUUUAUGUAAAUAAAUAUCCUUUAUUUUAA